rnacentral:rRNA from 1 species
UACGAAGGGUGCAAGCGUUAAUCGGAAUUACUGGGCGUAAAGCGCGCGUAGGUGGUUCAGUAAGUUGGAAGUGAAAUCCCCGGGCUCAACCUGGGAACUGCUUUCAAAACUGCUGAGCUAGAGUACGGUAGAGGGUGGUGGAAUUUCCUGUGUAGCGGUGAAAUGCGUAGAUAUAGGAAGGAACACCAGUGGCGAAGGCGACCACCUGGACUGAUACUGACACUGAAGUGCGAAAGCGUGGGGAGCAAACAGG